GACGAACGCUGGCGGCGUGCUUAACACACGCAAGUCAAGGGGGCCCAGCAAUGGGCAACCGGCGAACGGGUGCGUAACACGUGAGCAACCUACCGAAGUGUGGGGGAUAGCCGGCCUAACGGCCGAGUAAUACCGCAUACGAUUCCGAAGAGGCAUUUCUUUGGAAUGAAACCUACGGGGUACUUCGAGGGGCUCGCGGCCUAUCAGCUAGUUGGUGAGGUAACGGCUCACCAAGGCAACGACGGGUAGCGGUCUGAGAGGAUGGCCAGCCACAUUGGGACUGAGAAACGGCCCAGACUCCUACGGGAGGCAGCAGUGGGGAAUCUUGCGCAAUGGCCUAACGGCUGACGCAGCGACGCCGCGUGAGGGAUGAAGCUCUUCGGAGUGUAAACCACUGUUGCCCGGGACGAACACACUCUUUUGAGAGUGCUGACGGUACCGGGUGAGGAAGCACCGGCUAACUCUGUGCCAGCAGCCGCAGU
rnacentral:rRNA from 1 species